UAUCCAGGUUUUUAUUUUAUUUUAUUUCUUUUAUUUUUUCUUUAUUGUUUUUAUUUAUUUAUGCUUUAUUUAUUUAUUUGCUUUAUGUUUUUAUUUCCUGCCUAUUUAUUUAUUUCGUCUUUAGUUUUAGUUUUAGUUAUGUCUAGCUAAUUUAAAUAUUGCUAGGAUGUGUGAUUAGUAGCUAGUAGGGUUUCGAUAGUUAGUUCGCGCGCUAGUUUCUUUUAAGUUUUCUUUAAGCAGUUUUUAUUUUUAAAUGACUAUAAUUCGUCACGAGAGUGAGAAUUAAUUAAAGUAGGAUCAACAUAGAACGCCACUUGAGAUUUCUACUAGAUAGUAAAAACUGAACAUUGAUUCUAAUUCGGAAGAACGCCCACUUAGGAUUAGAGUCGAUAAUUAUUUCUCAUUCGGAAGAACGCCCACUUAGGAUUAGAAGUAAUUUAAUUAUAUUUGGUUUUCAAAAAGUACUUU
rnacentral:lncRNA from 1 species